CUGGGAUUAGCCCGGGUGAAUGUAGUCGACCAAUCAAAUCACAGAAUGGGGUGGUCGGCACUUUUAGGCGGGUUUGUCGUUAGUGCCAGUGUAACUUGGAGUUUUUAGUAAAAUAUGUUAUAACUAAACUGCUUUAAUUAAAGUUCAACAUGACGACAGACCAACAUCCAAUCUAUAGCGGCACAGAAAUAGAAGGAGGCGUUUGGACCCUUAAUGAGAAGCUAGCUGCUAGCUAACCGUCAUGGUUAGCAUGAUGACAGACAGAACGCCGGCCUUCUCCCACAGCGGGAGGUGCUCUUUCCUGCGUUUUACUUUCUGCCUUUCGCCCAAAUUCGGCUGGUGGUGCAGGAGUCUUUGGAAACCACAAGUUCCUGUAAGAGCCGACGUCUUGACGUUUGACAUCAAUUGCGAGAAGGUGUGACCCCACAGAACGCUGAUGAGACAUCUUACUGUGGCCAGAGAACAUCUAAAGACCAGGAAUACAGUUACAGCAGGGUAAAAAUACUUUUCUUAAAUCUUUUUAGGAUCUGACAUCACUGCAGCCUUCACUAUUAGCAAUUAUGAUUUUUAACUGUAGGCUCUGUUGAUCUACUCCCCACUUUUAAAUGACACGAGGAAGCAUCGCAUUAUGUCCCCACCAGAAAAAUGACAGCACUUGUGAUUUGAGGACAGAGAGGAAGGCGGUGUUUUUCCCUUCUCUGUUUACAUUUAGGAACAAAUGUUGACAUGAAGGUUAAAGAGGGAGACUCUGCUGGAUCAGUGGCCUGCAGGACAUGGGUUUGACACUGAAGGUCACAGUUUGUUUAUUGGGUUCUUUUGAAAGCUACAGUAUUUUGGAAUAUUUCAUGGCAAUAUUACAAAUGAUGUCAGACUCUCCAUUAAUGGCAUCAGUAAAGAAUACUUUUCC
rnacentral:lncRNA from 1 species